rnacentral:rRNA from 1 species
AUUGAACGCUGGCGGCAUGCCCUACACAUGCAAGUCGAACGGCAGCACGGGUGCUUGCACCUGGUGGCGAGUGGCGAACGGGUGAGUAAUACAUCGGAACAUGUCCUGUAGUGGGGGAUAGCCCGGCGAAAGCCGGAUUAAUACCGCAUACGAUCUACGGAUGAAAGCGGGGGACCUUCGGGCCUCGCGCUAUCGGGUUGGCCGAUGGCUGAUUAGCUAGUUGGUGGGGUAAAGGCCUACCAAGGCGACAAUCAGUAGCUGGUCUGAGAGGACGACCAGCCACACUGGGACUGAGACACGGCCCAGACUCCUACGGGAGGCAGCAGUGGGGAAUUUUGGACAAUGGGCGAAAGCCUGAUCCAGCAAUGCCGCGUGUGUGAAGAAGGCCUUCGGGUUGUAAAGCACUUUUGUCCGGAAAGAAAUCCUUGGCCCUAAUACGGUCGGGGGAUGACGGUACCGGAAGAAUAAGCACCGGCUAACUACGUG